rnacentral:rRNA from 1 species
AUUGAACGCUGGCGGCAGGCCUAACACAUGCAAGUCGCACGAGUGGCGGACGGGUGAGUAAUGUCUGGGAAACUGCCUGAUGGAGGGGGAUAACUACUGGAAACGGUAGCUAAUACCGCAUACCAUCAGAUGUGCCCAGAUGGGAUUAGAUUGUUGGGGGGGUAACGGCUCACCAAGGCGACGAUCCCUAGCUGGUCUGAGAGGAUGACCCGCCACAGUGGAAAUGAGACACGGUCCAGACUCCUACGGGAGGCAGCUGGGGGGAAUAUUGAACAAUGGGCGCAAGCUUGAUGCAGACAUGCCGCGUGUAUGAAGAAGGCCUUCGGGUUGUAAAGUACUUGCAGCGGGGAGGCGUUACCCGCAGAAGAAGCACCGGCUAACGCCGUGCCAGCAGCCGCGGUAAUAC